rnacentral:sRNA from 1 species
CUGCGAUGAUUAAACUUUCAAGAAGAUUCUUUUGGUUGUUGUGGUUUGGUCUGCUUGAUUUGUUCGAGACAGGGCUUCUCUGUGUACCCCUGCUGUCUUGAAACUCACUUGCAGACCAGGCCGGCCUCGAACUCUCAGAGAUCCUCCUGCCUCUGCCUCCCCAAUGCAAGAAUUAAAGGCUUGCACUAACUACCACCUGGCUCAAAGAUAUUUUUUAAUUUGUCUUUAAAUUCUGCUUUUAUUUUUUAAAUAUUUUUAAUUAACUAUAUUUUUCCCUUUUUUAGUACUUAAAAUUAAUUUUUAGAUCAAUAUAUUCUGCCCUGUGGUGAAAUACUCCUUUGUUAUGCUUUCUCGUAUGAAGUCAGACUCUGGGGCCCUGGGGGUAUUGUGAUGUACCGUUGAAGGUCCACUGUGUGUGCAGCUCUUCAGUCCAAAGUAGGCAAAGUCUACUUCGUGCAGUCAGCCAGGUAUGCAGAAGACAACUUCUGGAGUCAGUUCUGUCAACCAUGUGGGUCUCAGGGAUGGAACUCAGUUGGUCAUGAUUGGCAGCAAGCACCUUUACCUGCUGACCCACCUCAGCACUCCUGAUGGAGCAGAUGUAGAUGAACAAUAUCAUCUAUGAAACAUUCCAAACAAAACUAACUUGAAUCCAUCAAGCCUUCCCAUCAAACACGCAAUUUUUUUAAUUUGUUUUAUUAUUUUUUGAUGUCUGUGUGUUAUGUCUGCAUGUAUGUCUGUGUGCCAUGUUUGUUCCCGGUGCCCCCUGAAGUCAGAAGAAGGAAUCAGAUCCCCUAGAACUGGAGUUUCAGAAAGAUGAGCUGCAGGUGGGGGCUGGGAAUUGAACCUGUGUCCUCUGGAAGAGCAGCUGGUGCUCUUAACAGCUGAACACCUCUCCAGUGCCAAACACACCAUUUAUAAGAAAUACAACAGGUGAAAUAACAAAUUCUGUGCCAUUCUGGAGGAUAACUGGUGUAUAAGCUUCAACAAUGUAUCAUCCUGGAAGAAACAAUGGCUGUGUGGGGAAAAAAAAAAUCUAAGGGACAUUACAGCCUGACCCAGAUCCUAUUCUGAACAGACAAGCUAUAAAACACCUUUCAGCACAAUUGAAGGAGGAACGAAAGCAUGGAAUAUUUGAUAAGAUGAAGUUGUGUUGCCAUGCAAGCCUUGGAGGUCAUUAAGAAAACGGCAAGUCACAAAAUGGUGUGUGUGCAGUAGUAUCUCGGUUUUAAAAAGUUAAAUGUGUGUGUUUACAGACUAUGAAACAGGAUUUACCCUGAGGUUGUGCUGAUUACAAUCUUUGGAAGUAAAAUCAUACAUUUUUUUAUCUUAUAUUUAUCUUCAUGUAAUAUUUUUGCUUUAUACAUUACAUUUGUUCAUUAACAAUGAAAUUUAUUUUAUGAAA